rnacentral:rRNA from 1 species
CACGGGGGGAGCAAGCGUUGUUCGGAUUCAUUGGGCGUAAAGAGCUCGUAGGUGGCUCUACAAGUCGGGGGUGAAAGACCACAGCUCAACUGUGGAAACGCCUUCGAAACUGUGGAGCUUGAGGCUGGGAGAGGAAAUCGGAAUUCCUGGUGUAGCGGUGAAAUGCGUAGAUAUCAGGAGGAACACCGGUGGCGAAGGCGGAUUUCUGGACCAGUUCUGACACUGAGGAGCGAAAGCCAGGGGAGCAAAC